AAGAUGUAGAUGAGAGAGAAUGAGAAAAAAUCAUCUAGUGUCUUCGUUCUCUCUCCUCAUGUUUCAUUCCAGAAAUUGUUCUGAGGCUAAACCUAACCUUACCAACCAGCGAUAUUGCGCCGCCGCCAUUCACAACCAUCAAUUGCCAUCUUAUAUCUGUCAUUCGUGGUAGUCCUCUUGCGACUAAUCUCCGUUUGUGGGAAAACUUUGCUAUGAACCUGAUUAGUGGAAAUUUGGGGAUGAAAAAUCUUAAGCACUGAUCGUAUUGUUCAAUACAAGAUAGCUAAAUAUACAUUUUACCUUCUAGUUGCAAAAAUAUAUAAAAACCCAGAUAGUACCACAAAGUUUCAUCUUCUAUAACAUGAUGACAUAAGAUAAUCUUAACUUGACAGACCUUUCCUUUAUGGGGCCUUCACAAUGCAAGACAAGCCAAAGACUUAAGAGAUAUUAGUGAGUGAUUUAAAAGUGUUCGCCACCUUCAAGGAGGAGCUAUACAAAGAAAUCAUCCACAUGUUAAUUCUUAAUAAUUUUAGGAAAAUGAUUCAAGUAUGGGGCAAUGUGGGCCUAGUGGGGAUACAAUUGGAAGUCCUGGCAAUGUUAUGGGAAUAGCAGAGGAAAUGUUAGCAGUAAAAUGUAGAUUUUGUUGGUCCAAGUUUAAUUUUUGGUUCGUUAUUGAAUUUGAAAAUUUUAUGUAGUAACUGUACAGUUUUAUGAAAAAUUUGGAAAUUUUUAUUGGGCCUUUAUAUAUUAUCAACCUAAUAAACCGAUUAACCCGUCCUGUUUUAACCCGCGACCCGUUUAGACCCAAUCCGUCUAAACCAAAGUUAAAAUUGGGCGGAAAUGGGCCAUAUUAAUCCAUCCGCGGGUUGGGGUGGGUGUUGCUUUUGGGCCCGAACCCGCCCAACCCGGUCCGUUGUCCAGCCCUAAGUGUAAUUAUGCUAUGCAUGAUUUGAACAUAUAGUAAUAUGUUUAGAGCAAAGCUGUAAUAGUGUAGAUGUGUAAUUGUUGUUGCAAGUUGCUGAGAAAAGAAUAAACCAAUUUAAGAAUAAUAGUGUUCACGUGUAGAAAAAAAUAAUGUGUACAGUGAUACUUGUAUCUAUACUGUGUUUGACAAAAAGGUUCUGUCUUGUGCCAAUCAACCAAUAAGAGCCGGGAGUAACAGGAAACAAUAUUGUUAUAAAUAAACCAAACAGUCUCGUUUGACCAAAAUAGCUGAAUUAAAUGGUAUAAUUAGUUAUUCGAAAUUUGAUGAAAAUUUACGUGGUAGCUAAGUUUAAUUAGUAGAUUAACGCGAUGGUGUUAUUUUGUUGAAAUUGUGAUAUUUUACGAAUCGAUCGAAAUUGUGUGUGAUUUAAAUAUUCUUUAUAAAUAAAUUAUAAUAAUGUAAUAGAAUUGUCAAUAGAGUUGUUAGAGUUGUCAAUAGAGUUGUUAGAGUUGACAAUAAGUUGUCAGGGUUGUUUUGGGUUAUUAAGAGUCAGACUUUUAUUUGUUUUGCGUAAUUUUGACAUGUUUAGAGUUGUUAGUGUAUGAUGUCGGUGUUUGCUUUUUUGUUGAAACUUUAAAAAUUCAUAUCUUUUGAACCGUAACUCCGUUUGAGUUUUCGUUCAAGGCGUUAGAAAGCUAGCGCAAUACUCUUUUCAAUAAAAAUGGUCUUGAGAAA